rnacentral:tRNA from 1 species
AGAGCUAUGGCUUAAUUAGUAGAGCACAGACUUUCAAGUCAGAUGUUCUGAGUUCAAAUCUCAAUAAUUCUA